rnacentral:lncRNA from 1 species
AUUGACACCAAAUAAUAAUACAAAGGAGAUUAUAUUCAUACUCAAAAUUACUUGUCUUACACCUUUUUAAUUUUUUAAUAUUUUUUUAUCAAAUGUUAGUGAUGUGUAGAAAAUAUUAAAAAAUUAAAAAGAUAUAAGAAAAGUAAUUUGAGAUGUGUGAAUAUAAUCUCACUUAUACAAAUUAAGUAGGUGGGCCUGAACCUGAUUUUGGAAGUGUGAAUAUCCUUUCAACUGUUUGUGCUCCAGAAGCAAGCAAUUCCAGUUUCAUCAUCUCUGCUAAAUCCGAGGCCACACAAAAGCCAAGUCGGCCACUUCAA